UUUGAUAUCUUGCGGUUUGACUACAGAAGAAGACAGACACUUGCCGAAAUAGAGCAGGUUUUUAUAAGGACGAGAUAGACCCGAUGAUUACAGUAAGUCAGUAACCUACACAUGCAGAAACCUCAACACCUCAUAGCAGAUAGACUCAUAUGAUAAACUAAAGCCCUAUGCUAUUGCUAUUAACAGCUGUAUUGAUGAAUUUAGCCUCUGUACAGCCAUUUCCAGCCAUUUUCCCCUCCACAAAAGCAGCAUUUCUCAUAUAUUCUUUUUAAAGUUCUGACAGUGUAAUGCUCAUGUACCAAAGGAAUAAGUAUCUCCAUGUUUCUGAAACCUAUACUAAAGUACAAUUCAUCUAAAUGCUCCACAGUGCUGAUUUUAGCAACUCUCCUCCACAACAGGUAACUUUAGGACUUUAUUCUUAUAUAUUAUUGACUUUAUUCUCCUAAAUAAUAACUUUAUUGUCUAAGAUUUAAAAACGUUUUUUGUCUUAAUGUGGCCCUCAUACUCCGUUGUAUUUAAGAGAUUAUAAUACUAUUAUACUAAUAAUUAUCUUCAAAGCUGACAAAACUACAGCAGAGGAUCAGGACAACAUUGAGUUUUUAUUAAUUUAUUUUUUUAAGAUUUAGAGAUUAAAGUUGUAAUCUUAGGAGAAUAAAGUCAUGAAGUAAAUAAAGUCAUAAAGCUGCUUUUGUGGAGGGGAAAAUGACUGAAGCUGGUCAUCUGCAGGGUUAUCUGUGGAUGUAUCUGCGGGUCAUUCAGAGAGAUUUUGUGGUUUCUGAAGAAACGAUCAAACUGAUGAUCAACAUUUGUGAUCCAGAGGGAGUCGAGCUCCAACGAGCACCACGUCUCUGACACCAACAGUAACCUACACCUGCAGAGACACCAACGCCUUAUUAUGGCAUAUGGAUUCGUAUCAUAAACUAAAGCUCAAUGUCAUUCACAGAUAUCUACGCCUGCAUAAACGGAUAUAUCCUCAGCAUAUUCAUUUCUGCCUCCACAAAAUCAGCGAUUUCCUUCAAGUACACCAGUUUUUUGAAAAAAGACAUAUUUCUCAUUAAUUCUUUUUUAAAUCUUUAUACUUAUGACAAGUGUGCUGAUGUGCCAAAGGAUGAAAUAUUUCCUUGUUUGUGAAACCUAUACUGAAGCACAGUUCCUUUAUAUGCUUCAUGGCCCUAAUUUUAACAACUCUCCUCUGAAAUAACAGGUUACGACUUUAUUCUCGUAAAUUAAUGACUUUAUUCACGUAAAUUCAUGAAUUAAAUCUCGGAAAAAAAUUCUCAGCCUGAUGAGGUCGCUCAAAUGGGACACACUACCCUUCGGAGGACUUUCUGUUUGAGUCGCCAAAUGUCCCCACCCUCAGGCUCGCGUCACGACUGACUUGAAGAAAAGCUGCGGAUGCAGCAUUUAUUUUUUUAAUUGUGCGACCUUGCACAGACACAAAACAAUAGAUACAAGCACAGAUCAUUCCCACAAAAUUCAUCAAUACUCAGGCGCUGAGACUGAGGGCUGCUGGCUUCUUAAAGGCCUUGAUUGCAGAUUUAGUGCAGGUGUGGAGUCUCACUCAGCCUCAGCGACUGGGGAGGGGGAGGGUGCUCUGGAAAAGAGUCAAGCCAGACCAGGAAAAUGAAGAAAAACACGAAGUCCAACCAAACUGAAACAAAAGGAGGAGGCGUCUCACCACACUCUGGAUCUCAAAUGUUGAUCAUCAGUUUGAUUGUUUCUUCAGAAACCACAAAAACUUUCUGAAUGACCGCUGAUGCAUCCACCGAUAACCCUGCAGUUGACCAACCUCAGUCAUUUUCCCCUCCACCAAAGCAGCUUUAUGACUUUAUUUACUUUAUGACUUUAUUCUCCUAAGUUUACAACUUUAAUCUCUAAAUCUUAAAAAAAUAAAUCAAUAAAAACUCAAUGAUGUCCUGAUCCUCUGCUGUAGUUUUGUCAGCUUUCUUAUUUCUAAUGUUUUUGAUUGUUGUAGCAGAGCGGAUCAGUUCGUCUCUAAAUCUAUAAUGUUUGGUUUACAGAUUUUAGUGAGUUUAGAGAUCAUGAGCUCAGACAGCCUGAGCUGACUGUCUGCUGUUUUUGGAUUUCUUGUAUUUUCUUUGAAGACGCGCUGUGUCUCCAAGCGAGUCCAGCCUCUCACCC